rnacentral:rRNA from 1 species
UCCCUUAGAUGUCCGGGGCCGCACGCGCGCUACACUGAAGGAAUCAGCGUGGCUUUCUCCCUGACCCGAAAGGGUUGGGAAACCCGUUGAAUCUCCUUCGUGAUAGGGAUUGGGGCUUGAAAUUGUUCCCCAUGAACGAGGAAUUCCCAGUAAGCGCGAGUCAUAAGCUCGCGUUGAUUACGUCCCUGCCCUUUGUACACACCGCCCGUCGCACCUACCGAUUGAACGGUUUAGUGAGGGCCUCGGAUUGGUCUCGGCCCGCUCUUUACCGGGCGGCGCCGUUGGUCGAGAAGACGCUCGAACUUGAUCGUUUAGAGGAAGUAAAAGUCGUAACA